rnacentral:rRNA from 1 species
GAUGAACGCUAGCGGCAGGCUUAAUACAUGCAAGUCGAGGGACAGCACAGGUAGCAAUACUGGGUGGUAACCGGCAAACGGGUGCGGAACACGUACACAACCUUCCUUUAAGUGGGGAUAGCCCAGAGAAAUUUGGAUUAAUACCCCGUAAUAUAGUUGAAUGGCAUCAUUUGAUUAUUAUAGCUACGGCGCUUAAUGAUGGGUGUGUGGCUGAUUAGAUAGUUGGCGGGGUAACGGCCCACCAAGUCUACGAUCAGUAGCUGAUGUGAGAGCAUGAUCAGCCACACGGGCACUGAGACACGGGCCCGACUCCUACGGGAGGCAGCAGUAAGGAAUAUUGGUCAAUGGACGCAAGUCUGAACCAGCCAUGCCGCGUGAAGGAUUAAGGUCCUCUGGAUUGUAAACUUCUUUUAUUUGGGACGAAAAAGGGCCUUUCUAGGUCAACUGACGGUACCAGGUGAAUAAGCACCGGCUAACUCCGUGCCAGCAGCCGCGGUAA